rnacentral:rRNA from 1 species
UACGGAGGGAGCUAGCGUUAUUCGGAAUUACUGGGCGUAAAGCGCACGUAGGCGGCUUUGUAAGUUAGAGGUGAAAGCCUGGAGCUCAACUCCAGAACUGCCUUUAAGACUGCAUCGCUUGAAUCCAGGAGAGGUGAGUGGAAUUCCGAGUGUAGAGGUGAAAUUCGUAGAUAUUCGGAAGAACACCAGUGGCGAAGGCGACUCACUGGCCCGUUACUGACGCUGAUGCGCGAAAGCGUGGGGAGCAAACAGG